UAAGGAAUAUUGGUCAAUGGACGCAAGUCUGAACCAGCCAUGCCGCGUGGAGGAUGAAGGUCCUCUGGAUUGUAAACUUCUUUUAUCUGGGACGAAACACUUCUUUUCUAAGAGGCCUGACGGUACCAGAUGAAUAAGCACCGGCUAACUCCGUGCCAGCAGCCGCGGUAAUACGGAGGGUGCAAGCGUUAUCCGGAUUCACUGGGUUUAAAGGGUGCGUAGGUGGGUAUGUAAGUCAGUGGUGAAAUCCCCGAGCUUAACUUGGGAACUGCCAUUGAUACUAUAUAUCUUGAAUACCGUAGAGGUAAGCGGAAUAUGUCAUGUAGCGGUGAAAUGCUUAGAUAUGACAUGGAACACCAAUUUCGAAGGCAGCUUACUAUGCGGUGAUUGACACUGAGGCACGAAAGCGUGGGUAGCAAACA
rnacentral:rRNA from 1 species